rnacentral:lncRNA from 1 species
UGCAGGCAGAUGAAAAAGAGAUUUCGAAAUGCUUUAAGAGCCGUACAAAACAUGAUCCUAUAAUUGAUGUCGUGAAAGAAGACCAACCAUUCUUCCAUAUAAAAGAUACAAUUCAAACCUUGAACGAUAGACCUUAGAUUGAAAUAUUAAUAAAAUUAUGGUAUGCAAUAUAGCAUAUGAUAAAUGUCAACUAACAAGCAGUCAUGGCAACAAUUCUUCUGC